GCCCUUGUGACGGAAUGGCAGACGUGUCGCGUUGAGGUCGCGGUGCCUUUUGGCGUGUCGGUUCAAGUCCGACCAAGGGCA
rnacentral:tRNA from 2 species